UGUUGAGGAGGAGCUGAUGCAAAUAUCUUUUCUUCUGCCUCCACUUAUCAGACUGCUCAAAGCAUGCAGGGAAUAGUGGACAGACAGUUACUCAAGAUGGAUUGUAAGACAGCGCUGAUACUUUUGACUGUCUGCUGUGCAGGUGUUGAUGGUCAGACUCUAACAGAGUCGGAACCAGCAGUUAAAAGUCCUGGAGAUUCACACAGGCUGACCUGUACAGGCUCUGGAUUCACGUUCAGCAGCUACCAUAUGGGCUGGAUCAGACAGGCUGCUGGAAAAGGACUGGAGUGGAUUGCUUUCAUUUA